AAAAAUAGUCAUAUACCACAUGAGUGAAGAUCAUAUUAGCCAAGAAACAUUUGACUCAAAUCAACACAAGAAAAUAAUGCAUGUUUCUAAAAAUUACUUGACAAAACCAGCCAAUACAAUAUGCAAACAAAACAAGUCUAAUUGCAAAUGCAAUUGCUCCGUCAUUAUUCCCUUUUCUGUUCAUUGAAUUCAAUAAGCAAAAGGGACUGUCAUGUUUAGGCUAGGCUCUAAUUUCUAUGAAAAUAAGCACAUCAAAAAUUCAAAAUCAUAAUUAGCCUAACAAAGUUUCAUACCAACUGAAAAUUACAUGGUGGAAAUAUUUCAGCUUUUCUUCUUAAAUAAAAGAGGAUUUUAUUAAUGAAGAAAGAAG
rnacentral:misc_RNA from 1 species